AAAAGCUCCAAUUUGAAAUCCUGGCACUUUCAGUGUCCGAGUUGUAAUUUGAAGAAGGUAUCUUUGGGUCUGGCUCUUGUCUAUGUUUCUUGGAACAGAACGUCACAGAGGGUGAGAAUCCCGUGCGAUGAGAUGACCCAGACCUAUGUAAAGUUCCUUCGAAGAGUCGAGUUGUUUGGGAAUGCAGCUCUAAGUGGGUGGUAAAUUCCAUCUAAAGCUAAAUAUUGGCGAGAGACCGAUAGCGAACAAGUACAGUGAUGGAAAGAUGAAAAGAACUUUGAAAAGAGAGUGAAAAAGUACGUGAAAUUGUUGAAAGGGAAGGGCUUGAGAUCAGACUUGGUAUUUUGUAUGUUACUCUUUCGGGGGUGGCCUCUACAGUUUACCGGGCCAGCAUCAGUUUGGGCGGUAGGAGAAUUGCAAAGAAAUGUGGCACUGCCUCGGUAGUGUGUUAUAGUCUUUGUCGAUACUGCCAGCCUAGACUGAGGACUGCGGCUUCGGCCUAGGAUGUUGGCAUAAUGAUCUUAAGUCGCCCGUUG
rnacentral:rRNA from 1 species